GUUUAUGUAGCUUAUAUAGAGUACAAUAUUGAAGAUAUUGGGGAGAUUUUUUAAUUCUUAAACA
rnacentral:tRNA from 1 species